rnacentral:rRNA from 1 species
UACGUAGGGUCCGAGCGUUGUCCGGAAUUAUUGGGCGUAAAGGGCUCGUAGGCGGUUAGUCACGUCGGGAGUGAAAACUCAGGGCUCAACCCUGAGCGUGCUUCCGAUACGGGCUGACUAGAGGUAUGCAGGGGAGAACGGAAUUCCUGGUGUAGCGGUGGAAUGCGCAGAUAUCAGGAGGAACACCGGUGGCGAAGGCGGGUCUCUGGGCCGAUACUGACGCUGAGGAGCGAAAGCGUGGGGAGCGAACAGG